GAUGAACGCUGGCGGCGUGCUUAACACAUGCAAGUCGAGCGAGAGAACUUGAAGGAAAACUUCGGUCGGAAUUCGAAUGAUCUAGCGGCGGACGGGUGAGUAACGCGUGGGAAACCUGCCUCAUACAAGGGGAUAGCCUCGGGAAACCGGGAUUAAUACCCUAUAAAGCUUUUGGAACGCAUGUUCUAAAGGUCAAAGCUCCGGCGGUAUGAGAUGGUCCCGCGUCUGAUUAGCUAGUUGGAGAGGUAACGGCUCACCAAGGCGACGAUCAGUAGCCGGCCUGAGAGGGUGAACGGCCACACUGGAACUGAGACACGGUCCAGACUCCUACGGGUGGCAG
rnacentral:rRNA from 1 species